CUCUGGUGGAUGCUCAUUGCCAGCAGGGCAGAAAUUGUAUAGGAGGAGCAAUGCUCAAAACCAGCUACUUAGGGAUUGUUCUCUAUGGCUUUUCUUUGGAGGGACGGUGACUUGAUGUGUUUUGCCGAUAUCACUUGGCCCAAGGAGUCCACAGAAGUGCUUCCGGCUGUUUGGUUGUUAUACUCCUGUGUUUAGACUUUCCUUUUGUGUUUUUCCUAUUAUCCUGCAGGUGUACCCUAAAACUGUUCCUAGUGUACUUGAACAGUUGCAUUUAUAAUGGGGGGGAUAUGGUUUAAUGGUGCCUGAUAUCUCAGUUUUUUUGUAUAUAACAUAUAUAUAAAUAUACAUAUAUAAAUAUAGAUAUAAUUAUAUCUCAGUGCAAUCUGGGAUUUAGAUUUACAGUUUGCUCUGGGCUAGCUUUCUGCCUGGAGUGUUGUGCUCCAUUGCAGUCCAGUUGGGAUUUCUCUUUUUCUAAAGCUUUUGAGUCUUGAUAUUGGCCUGUCUGUGACUCUACCAUGAAUACCAGGAAGCAAGCUAAGACUUUGAAGAAGCGCUCAGGGCUCACGUCCUGAAUGUAUGUUGGUUAGAAAGUGGACUUUCUACUUCCUGCCCACUGCCAGCCAGUUCUCCACCCUCUCUUUGGUGUUCUUCGUGGGGAGGACACUGUGGUUUGUCACAGCCCUAGACUUUGAAAGGCUCCCAGAACCCAGGAGUACCAGCCUGCUCUCUAUUUGCUCAACUCCUUUCCCAGGGAGGACAUGUGACUGUCCUGUCUGACAGGAUGGAUCUGGGUUCCCCACGCAAACCAGUUCACCACAUAGAUAGCUAGUCUAAACAGUGUUUUAAAAUAAGGGCACCUCUGUUUCAAAAAUGACAUCUGCUGUGUUGUUUUCAAGGCCUGAUACUCUUUUUUUCCAAGGUUUGAAAAGAUGUAUGUAUCCGUUCAUGGGCUUGGUAGCCUUCUGGUCACCUCAGUCCUGUGGCUCUUAACUUAUUGCCCCAAAAUAUUAAUUCCCCCUCAGCUACAGUAAAUUGCAAGCAAAAGAUCUUGAAAUAAAAAAAAAGCACUAAUUUAGUUUAAAAUGUCACUUUUUGGUUUUUAUUCUACAAAAGCCAUGAAGUUCAUUCUCUCUCUCUCUCUCUCUCUCUCUCUCUCUCUCUCUCUCUUUCUCUUUCUCUCUCUCUUAUUUGUUAAAUCAGAUUAUGUUCAUUUUUUUACUGAUUCAUGUUUAUGAGCAGAGUGGAGUUUAACAAUCCUAGCUUUAAAAAAAUCUAUUUAAUGUAAGAUAUUCUACGCUUCAUUCAGAUAUUUUGUAUAUCCCCUAUGGCCUUUAUUCUGUACUUUUAAUGUACAUAUUUCUGUCUUGUGUGAUUUGUAUAUUUCACUGGUUUAA
rnacentral:lncRNA from 1 species